GGCUCAGGACGAACGCUGGCGGCGUGCUUAACACAUGCAAGUCGAACGGUGAAGCCCUUCGGGGUGGAUCAGUGGCGAACGGGUGAGUAACACGUGAGCAACCUGCCCCUGACUCUGGGAUAACUACCGGAAACGGUGGCUAAUACCGGAUAUGACAUGCCCGGGCAUCUGGGUGUGUGGAAAGUUUUUCGGUUGGGGAUGGGCUCGCGGCCUAUCAGCUUGUUGGUGGGGUGAUGGCCUACCAAGGCGACGACGGGUAGCCGGCCUGAGAGGGCGACCGGCCACACUGGGACUGAGACACGGCCCAGACUCCUACGGGAGGCAGCAGUGGGGAAUAUUGCGCAAUGGGCGAAAGCCUGACGCAGCGACGCCGCGUGGGGGAUGAAGGCCUUCGGGUUGUAAACCUCUUUCAGCAGGGAAGAAGCGUGAGUGACGGUACCUGCAGAAGAAGCACCGGCUAACUACGUGCCAGCAGCCGCGGUAAUACGUAGGGUGCAAGCGUUGUCCGGAAUUAUUGGGCGUAAAGAGCUCGUAGGCGGUCUGUCGCGUCUGCUGUGAAAACCCGGGGCUUAACCCCGGGCUUGCAGUGGGUACGGGCAGACUAGAGUGCGGUAGGGGAGACUGGAAUUCCUGGUGUAGCGGUGAAAUGCGCAGAUAUCAGGAGGAACACCGGUGGCGAAGGCGGGUCUCUGGGCCGUAACUGACGCUGAGGAGCGAAAGCGUGGGGAGCGAACAGGAUUAGAUACCCUGGUAGUCCACGCCGUAAACGUUGGGCGCUAGGUGUGGGGUCCGUUCCACGGGUUCCGUGCCGCAGCUAACGCAUUAAGCGCCCCGCCUGGGGAGUACGGCCGCAAGGCUUAAACUC
rnacentral:rRNA from 1 species